AAUGGAGGGGGAUAACUACUGGAAACGGUAGCUAAUACCGCAUAACGUCGCAAGACCAAAGAGGGGGACCUUCGGGCCUCUUGCCAUCGGAUGUGCCCAGAUGGGAUUAGCUAGUAGGUGGGGUAAAGGCUCACCUAGGCGACGAUCCCUAGCUGGUCUGAGAGGAUGACCAGCCACACUGGAACUGAGACACGGUCCAG
rnacentral:rRNA from 1 species